CGGGAAAAGCUCAAAUUUAAAAUCUGGUGGCCCUUCCGCCAUCCGAGUUGUAAUUUAGAGAAGCGUCUUCCGCGCUGGACCGUGCAUAAGUCUCCUGGAACGGAGCGUCAUAGAGGGUGAGAGCCCCGUCU
rnacentral:rRNA from 1 species